rnacentral:rRNA from 1 species
AAUAUUGCAUAAUGGGCGCAAGCCUGAUGCAGCCACGCCGCGCGAGGGACGACGGCCUUCGGGUUGUAUACCUCUCUUUGUAGGGAAGAAGCGAAAGUGACGGUACCUGCAGAAAAAGCACCGGCCAACUACGUGCAGCAGCCGCGGUAAUACGUAGGGUGCAAGCGUUGGCCGGAAUUAUUGGGCGUAAAGAGCUCGUAGGCGGUUUGGCGCGUCUGCUGUAAAAACCCGAGGCUCAACCGCGGGCCUGCAGUGGGUACGGGCAGACUAGAGUGCAGUAGGGGGGAGUGGAAUUCCUGGUGUAGCGGUGGAAUGCGCAGAUAUCAAGAGGAACACCGAUGGCGAAGGCAGAUCUCUGGGCCGUAACUGACGCUGAGGAGCGAAAGCAUGGGGAGCGAAC